rnacentral:lncRNA from 1 species
CAUAUCCAAAAACCAGACCAAGAUAACCCCCACCUUAAGCUUCAACUUUGAUAGAAUCAAAACCUAUUUUGUCUCCUGGCACAGGGUGAGGACCAAAACAUUGUCCAAGUCUACAUAACAAAUAAACAAUAAUUACAGAGCAAAGGUGACCAAUUAGCAAACCAGAACAGCCUUCCCGUGAAGCUUGAUUAAAAACCACACAGCGAUCAGGCAUCUGGAAAUUGAUGAGAACAACGGUAAGCAUGGGAAAGUCUAGGUAGAAGAUAAAAGAUAGUAAAAAAAAAAAAAACUAUUCUAUACUCUCUUUGCCAGGCCCACACCACUAUAUCAAUGACAGCAUCAAAGGUAGAUCCGUGUUCAAUAACCAGGCCAACAUUAGCCACACCAUAAGCUCCUUCUUUCAAAACUUAAUUUUUAUCUCCUAUCAUAGGGUGAGGCAGAGAACAAUAUCCACGUCUACAUAACAACAAAAAAUUGUUGAAACUGACAAAAGAUAACCAAGAAAACAAGAAGUGCCAUCCAUUAUGGAAAUUGAAGAGUAUAACUAUAAACACGGGAAACUCUAGGUAGAAGAGAAAAUGUAGUAGAAAAAAAAAAUACUAUUAUGUAUUUCCUUUGCGACCCUCGAUUUACAAUAUACCAAUGAUAACAUCAAAGAUCUGUCCGCGUCCAAAAACCAGACCAAGAUAGCCCCCACAUUAAGCUCCUACAGUGAUGGAAUCAAAACCUAUUUUGUAUCUCCUGUCACAGGGUAGGCCCAAAACAAUAUCCAAGUCUAUAUAACAACAAAAGAAAUAUAAUAGAGAGAUCAAAUGCAACCAAUUAUGAACCCAGAACUGCCUUCCAGUUAAGCUUGAUUAAGAACCACACAACGAUCAGGCAUCUGGAAAUUGAAGAGAAUAACAAUAAGCACGGGAAAGUCAAGAUGGAAGAUAAAUUGUAGCAGAAUUAAUACAAUACUAUACUCCCUCUGACACCCUCGAUAAACAUUAUAUCAGUGACAGCAUCAAAAGUUGAUAUGUCUCCAAUAACUAGACCAAGAUUAGCCCCACCAUAAGCUGCUUCUUUCACAACUUAAUUUUUAACCCCUGUCACAAGGUGAGGCAGAAAACAAUAUCCACGUCUACGUAACAAAUAAAAGAUUGUUGAAACUGACAAAAGAUAACCAAGCAUACCAGAAGUGCCUUCCAGUUAAGAACCACACAACAAUCAGACAUCUGGAAAUUGAAGAGUAUAACUAUUAGCACGGGAAACUCUAGGUAGAAGAGAAAAUGUAGUAGAAAAAAAAUACUAUUAUGUACUCCAUGUACUCCCUUUACCACCCACAUUAAACUAUAUCAAUGACAGCAUGAAGGAUUUGUCAGUGUACCAAAAACCAGACCAAGACACGCCCCCACCUUAAGCUCCUACUUUGAUAGAAUCAGAACCUAUUUUGUAUCUCCUAUCACAGGGUGAGGCUGAAACCAACAUCGAGUCUAAAUAACAACAAAAGAACUACAAUAGAGAGAGCAAAGGUAACCAACUAUCAAACCCGAACUGCCGUCCAGUAAGCUUGAUUAAGAACCACACAACGAUCGGGCAUCUGGAAAUGGAAGAGAAUAACGAUAAGCACCGGAAGGUCUAGAUGGAAGAUAAAUUGUAUUAGAAGAAAUACUAUACUAACUCCCUCUGCCACCCUCGAAAAACAUAUCAUGACCAUCAAAGGAUUGAUUGUGUGCAAUAACUGACUAAGAUUAGCCCUACCUUAAGCCCUACUUUGAUAAAAUUAAAACUUAAUUUUUAUCUCAUGUCAUAGGGUGGGGCAGAAAACAAUAUCACGUCUAUGUACAAACAAAAAUUGUUGAAAUGACAAAAGAUAACCAAACAUCAAACCAGAAGUGUCAUCCAGUUAAGAACCACCCCACGAUCAGACAUCUGGAAAUUGAAGAGUAUAUCUAUAAGCACGGGAAACUCUAGGUAGAAGAGAAAAUGUAUAGAAAUAAAAAUACUAUUAUGUACUCCCUUUGCCACCCUCGAUUAACACAAUAUCAAUGACUCAUCAAAGAUCUGUCCGCGUCCAAAAACCAGACCAAGAUAGCCCCCACAUUAAGCUCCUACAGUGAUGGAAUCAAAACCUAUUUUGUAUCUCCUGUCACAGGGUAGGCCCAAAACAAUAUCCAAGUCUAUAUAACAACAAAAGAAUAUAAUAGAGAGAUCAAAUGCAACCAAUUAUGAACCCAGAACUGCCUUCCAGUUAAGCUUGAUUAAGAACCAAACAACGAUCAGGCAUCUGGAAAUCGAAGAGAAUAACAAUAAGCACGGGAAAGUCAAGAUGGAAGAUAAAUUGUAGCAGAAUUAAUACAAUACUAUACUCCCUCUGACACCCUCGAUAAACAUUAUAUCAGUGACAGCAUCAAAAGUUGAUGUCUCCAGUAACUAGACCAAGAUUAGCCCCACCAUAAGCUGCUUCUUUCACAACUUAAUUUUUAACUCCUGUCACAAGGUGAGGCAGAAAACAAUAUCCACGUCUACGUAACAAAUAAAAGAUUGUUGAAACUGACAAAAGAUAACCAAGCAUACCAGAAGUGCCUUCCAGUUAAGAACCACACAACAAUCAGACAUCUGGAAAUUGAAGAGUAUAACUAUUAGCACGGGAAACUCUAGGUAGAAGAGAAAAUGUAGGUAGAAAAAAAAUACUAUUAGUACUCCCUUUACCACCCACUAUUAACACUAUAUCAAUGACAGCAUGAAGGAUUUGUCAGUGUCCAAAAACCAGACCAAGACAGCCCCCACCUUAAGCUCCUACUUGAUAGAAUCAGAACCUAUUUUGUAUCUCCUAUCACAGGGUGAGGCUGAAACCAACAUCCGAGUCUAAAUAACAACAAAAGAACUACAAUAGAGAGAGCAAAGGUAACCAACUAUCAAACCCGAACUGCCGUCCAGUUAAGCUUGAUUAAGAACCACACAACGAUCGGGCAUCUGGAAAUGAAGAGAAUAACGAUAAGCACCGGAAGGUCUAGAUGGAAGAUAAAUUGUAUAGAAGAAAUACUAUACUAUACUCCCUCUGCCACCCUCGAUAAACACACUAUAUAGUGACCACGUCAAAGGAUUGACUUGUGUGCAAUAACUUGACUAAGAUUAGCCCUACCUUAAGCUCCUACUUGAUAAAAUUAAAACUUAAUUUUUAUCUCAUGUCAUAGGGUGGGGCAGAAAACAAUAUCCACGUCUAUGUAGCAAACAAAAUUGUUGAACUGACAAAAGAUAACCAAACAUCAAACAGAAGUGUCUCCAGUUAAGAACCACCCCACGAUCAGACAUCUGGAAAUUGAAGAGUAUAUCUAUAAGCACGGGAAACUCGAGGUAGAAGAGAAAAUGUAGUAGAAUAAAAAUACUAUUAUGUACUCCCUUUGCCACCCUCGAUUAACACAAUAUCAAUGACUACAUCAAAGAUCUGUCGCGUCCAAAAACCAGACCAAGAUAGCCCCCACAUUAAGCUCCUACAGUGAUGGAAUCAAAACCUAUUUUGUAUCUCCUGUCACAGGGUAGGCUCAAAACAAUAUCCAAGUCUAUAUAACAACAAAAGAAAUAUAAUAGAGAGAUCAAAUGCAACCAAUUAUGAACCCAGAACUGCCUUCCAGUUAAGCUUGAUUAAGAACCAAACAACGAUCAGGCAUCUGGAAAUCGAAGAGAAUAACAAUAAGCACGGGAAAGUCAAGAUGGAAGAUAAAUUGUAGCAGAAUUAAUACAAUACUAUACUCCCUCUGACACCCUCGAUAAACAUUAUAUCAGUGACAGCAUCAAAAGUUGAUAGUCUCCAUAACUAGACCAAGAUUAGCCCCACCAUAAGUGCUUCUUUCACAACUUAAUUUUUAACCCCUGUCACAAGGUGAGGCAGAAAACAAUAUCCACGUCUACGUAACAAAUAAAAGAUUGUUGAAACUGACAAAAGAUAACCAAGCAUACCAGAAGUGCCUUCCAGUUAAGAACCACACAACAUCAGACAUCUGGAAAUUGAAGAGUAUAUCUAUAGCACGGGAAAUUCUAGGUAGAAGAGAAAAUGUAGUAGAAAAAAAAUACUAUUAUGUACUCCCUUUCCACCCCGAUUAAACAUAUCAAUGACCAUAAGAUUGUCGGUCCAAAAACCAGACCAAGACAGCCCCCACCUUAAGCUCCUACUUUGAUAGAAUCAGAACCUAUUUUGUAUCUCCUAUCACAGGGUGAGGCUGAAACCAACAUCGAGUCUAAAUAACAACAAAAGAACUACAAUAGAGAAAGCAAAGGUAACCAACUAUCAAACCCGAACUGCCGUCCAGUUAAGCUUGAUUAAGAACCACACAACGAUCGGGCAUCUGGAAAUGGAAGAGAAUAACGAUAAGCACCGGAAGGUCUAGAUGGAAGAUAAAUUGUAUUAGAAGAAAUACUAUCUAUACUCCCUCUGCCACCCUCGAUAAACACACUAUAUCAGUGACCACGUCAAAGGAUUGACUUGUGUGCAAUAACUUGACUAAGAUUAGCCCUACUUAAGCUCCUACUUUGAUAAAAUUAAAACUUAAUUUUUAUCUCAUGUCAUAGGGUGGGGCAGAAAACAAUAUCCACGUCUAUGUACAAACAAAAUUGUUGAAAUGACAAAAGAUAACCAAACAUCAAACCAGAAG